CAUUGAGGUUUUAUAUACUCAAGCUAUGCCCAGUGUGAUAUACAGUUUACUUAACUACUGCUGGAAGAUCAAGAUGUAUAAGUCUCAGCUCCUCCUGCACAUCUGUUGUAUGCCAUCUACCAUGAUGACAAUGGACUAAACCUCUGAAAUUGUUCUCAGCGACUGCUCCAUUGCCAGGCUUGCCUGCCAGCUGCCAUGCUUGCUACCAUGAUGGUCAUGGACUUAGCCAUCUGAAACUCAUAUACUGAAGACCAGCUGAGACAUUCGGCCUUGUGGAUCGAUCAACUACUGGAUUCUUGGACUUUCUGUUCACAGCAGACAUUGUUGGAUUAUCUGGACUGCUACUUGU